rnacentral:rRNA from 1 species
UACGAAGGGGGCUAGCGUUGCUCGGAAUCACUGGGCGUAAAGGGCGCGUAGGCGGCCAUUCAAGUCGGAGGUGAAAGCCCAGGGCUCAACCCUGGAAUUGCCUUCGAUACUGGCGAUCUUGAGUCCGGAAGAGGUGAGUGGAACUCCUAGUGUAGAGGUGGAAUUCGUAGAUAUUAGGAAGAACACCAGUGGCGAAGGCGGCUCACUGGUCCGGUACUGACGCUGAGGUGCGAAAGCGUGGGGAGCAAACAGG